CAGUUCACAAGUGAUGAUAGGGUGUUCAUGCUGUUGUGUGAGACGGCCUCCAUCUAAACCUUGUUACAACGUC
rnacentral:snoRNA from 1 species